rnacentral:rRNA from 1 species
UACGAAGGGGGCUAGCGUUGCUCGGAAUCACUGGGCGUAAAGGGUGCGUAGGCGGGUCUUUUAAGUCAGGGGUGAAAUCCUGGAGCUCAACUCCAGAACUGCCUUUGAUACUGAGGAUCUUGAGUUCGGGAGAGGUGAGUGGAACUGCGAGUGUAGAGGUGAAAUUCGUAGAUAUUCGCAAGAACACCGGUGGCGAAGGCGGCUCACUGGCUCGUUUCUGACGCUCAGGCGCGACAGCGUGGGGAUCAAACAGG